UACGGGGGGGGCAAGCGUUGUUCGGAAUUACUGGGCGUAAAGGGCUCGUAGGCGGCCAACUAAGUCGGAUGUGAAAUCCCCAGGCUCAACCUGGGAACUGCAUCCGAUACUGGAUGGCUUGAAUUCGGGAGAGGGAUGCAGAAUUCCAGGUGUAGCGGUGAAAUGCGUAGAUAUCUGGAGGAAUACCGGUGGCGAAGGCGGCAUCCUGGACCGACAUUGACGCUGAGGAGCGAAAGCGUGGGGAGCAAACAGG
rnacentral:rRNA from 1 species